rnacentral:rRNA from 1 species
UGAUCCUGCCACCAUGUGCUUGUCUCCAAGAUUCAGCUAUGAUUGUCCAUAUGCUUGUGUCUCAGUAUGAGCUUCUCUAGGCGAAUCUGCGAAUGGCUCAUUCUCACAGUUCUACUUUAUGUGCUGGUCAUUCACUACAAAGAAUAACCUUGGUAAUUCUAAGGUUAAUACAUGCCUUCUCAGAUACAGAGCCAACCCAGGGUACCGGAGACUCAGGGUUCGAUUCCAGAGAGGGAGCCUGAGAAACGGCUGCCAUGUCUAAGGACAGCAGCAGGCGCGCAAAUUGCCCAAUACUAACGUAUGAGCGAGGCAGCGACGAGAAGUAUUACCUUGUGAUACUUUGUAUCACGAGGAUAGAAAUGGGUGAUAUCUAAAGCCAUCACUGAGGAUCGAUUGGAGGGCAAGUCU